rnacentral:rRNA from 1 species
UUAAGCGACUAAGCGUACACGGUGGAUGCCCUGGCAGUCAGAGGCGAUGAAGGACGUGCUAAUCUGCGAUAAGCGUCGGUAAGGUGAUAUGAACCGUUAUAACCGGCGAUUUCCGAAUGGGGAAACCCAGUGUGAUUCGUCACACUAUCAUUAACUGAAUCCAUAGGUUAAUGAGGCGAACCGGGGGAACUGAAACAUCUAAGUACCCCGAGGAAAAGAAAUCAACCGAGAUUCCCCCAGUAGCGGCGAGCGAACGGGGAGGAGCCCAGAGCCUGAAUCAGUGUGUGUGUUAGUGGAAGCGUCUGGAAAGGCGCGCGAUACAGGGUGACAGCCCCGUACACAAAAAUGCACAUGCUGUGAGCUCGAUGAGUAGGGCGGGACACGUGGUAUCCUGUCUGAAUAUGGGGGGACCAUCCUCCAAGGCUAAAUACUCCUGACUGACCGAUAGUGAACCAGUACCGUGAGGGAAAGGCGAAAAGAACCCCGGCGAGGGGAGUGAAAAAGAACCUGAAACCGUGUACGUACAAGCAGUGGGAGCACGCUUAGGCGUGUGACUGCGUACCUUUUGUAUAAUGGGUCAGCGACUUAUAUUCUGUAGCAAGGUUAACCGAAUAGGGGAGCCGAAGGGAAACCGAGUCUUAACUGGGCGUUAAGUUGCAGGGUAUAGACCCGAAACCCGGUGAUCUAGCCAUGGGCAGGUUGAAGGUUGGGUAACACUAACUGGAGGACCGAACCGACUAAUGUUGAAAAAUUAGCGGAUGACUUGUGGCUGGGGGUGAAAGGCCAAUCAAACCGGGAGAUAGCUGGUUCUCCCCGAAAGCUAUUUAGGUAGCGCCUCGUGAAUUCAUCUCCGGGGGUAGAGCACUGUUUCGGCAAGGGGGUCAUCCCGACUUACCAACCCGAUGCAAACUGCGAAUACCGGAGAAUGUUAUCACGGGAGACACACGGCGGGUGCUAACGUCCGUCGUGAAGAGGGAAACAACCCAGACCGCCAGCUAAGGUCCCAAAGUCAUGGUUAAGUGGGAAACGAUGUGGGAAGGCCCAGACAGCCAGGAUGUUGGCUUAGAAGCAGCCAUCAUUUAAAGAAAGCGUAAUAGCUCACUGGUCGAGUCGGCCUGCGCGGAAGAUGUAACGGGGCUAAACCAUGCACCGAAGCUGCGGCAGCGACGCUUAUGCGUUGUUGGGUAGGGGAGCGUUCUGUAAGCCUGCGAAGGUGUGCUGUGAGGCAUGCUGGAGGUAUCAGAAGUGCGAAUGCUGACAUAAGUAACGAUAAAGCGGGUGAAAAGCCCGCUCGCCGGAAGACCAAGGGUUCCUGUCCAACGUUAAUCGGGGCAGGGUGAGUCGACCCCUAAGGCGAGGCCGAAAGGCGUAGUCGAUGGGAAACAGGUUAAUAUUCCUGUACUUGGUGUUACUGCGAAGGGGGGACGGAGAAGGCUAUGUUGGCCGGGCGACGGUUGUCCCGGUUUAAGCGUGUAGGCUGGUUUUCCAGGCAAAUCCGGAAAAUCAAGGCUGAGGCGUGAUGACGAGGCACUACGGUGCUGAAGCAACAAAUGCCCUGCUUCCAGGAAAAGCCUCUAAGCAUCAGGUAACAUCAAAUCGUACCCCAAACCGACACAGGUGGUCAGGUAGAGAAUACCAAGGCGCUUGAGAGAACUCGGGUGAAGGAACUAGGCAAAAUGGUGCCGUAACUUCGGGAGAAGGCACGCUGAUAUGUAGGUGAAGUCCCUCGCGGAUGGAGCUGAAAUCAGUCGAAGAUACCAGCUGGCUGCAACUGUUUAUUAAAAACACAGCACUGUGCAAACACGAAAGUGGACGUAUACGGUGUGACGCCUGCCCGGUGCCGGAAGGUUAAUUGAUGGGGUCAGCGCAAGCGAAGCUCUUGAUCGAAGCCCCGGUAAACGGCGGCCGUAACUAUAACGGUCCUAAGGUAGCGAAAUUCCUUGUCGGGUAAGUUCCGACCUGCACGAAUGGCGUAAUGAUGGCCAGGCUGUCUCCACCCGAGACUCAGUGAAAUUGAACUCGCUGUGAAGAUGCAGUGUACCCGCGGCAAGACGGAAAGACCCCGUGAACCUUUACUAUAGCUUGACACUGAACAUUGAGCCUUGAUGUGUAGGAUAGGUGGGAGGCUUUGAAGUGUGGACGCCAGUCUGCAUGGAGCCGACCUUGAAAUACCACCCUUUAAUGUUUGAUGUUCUAACGUUGACCCGUGAUCCGGGUUGCGGACAGUGUCUGGUGGGUAGUUUGACUGGGGCGGUCUCCUCCUAAAGAGUAACGGAGGAGCACGAAGGUUGGCUAAUCCUGGUCGGACAUCAGGAGGUUAGUGCAAUGGCAUAAGCCAGCUUGACUGCGAGCGUGACGGCGCGAGCAGGUGCGAAAGCAGGUCAUAGUGAUCCGGUGGUUCUGAAUGGAAGGGCCAUCGCUCAACGGAUAAAAGGUACUCCGGGGAUAACAGGCUGAUACCGCCCAAGAGUUCAUAUCGACGGCGGUGUUUGGCACCUCGAUGUCGGCUCAUCACAUCCUGGGGCUGAAGUAGGUCCCAAGGGUAUGGCUGUUCGCCAUUUAAAGUGGUACGCGAGCUGGGUUUAGAACGUCGUGAGACAGUUCGGUCCCUAUCUGCCGUGGGCGCUGGAGAACUGAGGGGGGCUGCUCCUAGUACGAGAGGACCGGAGUGGACGCAUCACUGGUGUUCGGGUUGUCAUGCCAAUGGCACUGCCCGGUAGCUAAAUGCGGAAGAGAUAAGUGCUGAAAGCAUCUAAGCACGAAACUUGCCCCGAGAUGAGUUCUCCCUGACUCCUUGAGAGUCCUGAAGGAACGUUGAAGACGACGACGUUGAUAGGCCGGAUGUGUAAGCGCAGCGAUGCGUUGAGCUAACCGGUACUAAUGAACCGUGAGGCUUAACCU